rnacentral:rRNA from 1 species
CUACGCCGAGUUCUUGACCUGUAUGAGGACUGCUCGGGACAGUGCAUAAACCUCGAAAAGUGGGCCUUAAUGUUUAGCCCUAACAUGGAGGACGGGGUUAAAACUGCUGUCAAAAAUGCUCUGCAAAUUCAAAGUGAGACGUGGAACGAGAAGUAUCUAGGCCUGCCAGUUCAUGUUGGAAAGUCACGGAAAAAAGCGUUUGCCUUUGUCAAGGGUACCAUGGACGGCCGGGUAUAUGGCUGGAAAGAACGACUAAUUGCGAAGGCUGGGGAGACCCUGGUCACUACUGUUGCUCAAGCUAUCCCCACUUUCGCCAUGUCUUGCUUCUAUCUAACCAAAUCUUUCUGCGAGGAGCUCAGCUCGCUGGAUGGAAACUAUUGGUGGAUCCAACAAGACAAGGAGAAUACCAUCCACUGGAUCGGCUAGAAAUCUCUUACGCUGCCAAAAGCUUAGGGAGGGCUUGGGUUUUGGGACAUGCAUGGUUUCAACAUAGCCAUGCUGGCGAGGCAAAUAUGGAGACUUAUCCAGAACCCGGACUCCUUAUGUGCACAAGUUUUGCGGUCCUGCUACUGCCCUAAUGAUCAAAUUCUGGAGGCCACCCCUCGAGAUGGCAUCUCUUACUCCUGACGAAGCCUGCUCCAUGGACUACAACUCUUCCGAGAAGGGUACAUAUGGAGAAUUUGGGAUGGCACUCAGGUCACUAUUUGGUCGGACCCGUGGAUACCGCGGCCCUGGUCACGGCGAGUCCUGACUGCUCGAGGCCCAAACCUCCUGGUUAGGGUCUGCGAGCUAAUUGAUCCGACCACAGGCCAGUGGGACGAGCAACUGGUGAGGGACAUUUUUUGGAUCGACGAUGUUAAGCAUAUACUCCAGAUCCCACUGAGAGAAGGGGCCCAAGGUUUUAUAGCAUGGCAGUACGAUAGCAAAGGAAUCCACGUCAAAUUUUCUUACAAACUCUUCGGCCAGCUGGAAAGAACCAAGAGGAAUGGGGACGUGGGUGGAAGUAGUACGAACCCGGGCGUUCUGGACCGAGUUGACGAUGACUCGUGGAAACGGAUUUGGAAGCUACCCUGUCCAAAAACCAUACAAAUGUUCACCUGGAGAGUCAAGCAUGAAUCCUUGGUGCUACGGAUAAAUGUGGCCCGCCGAGGCCUCCCUAUUCAUGAUACAAAGUGUUUGUUCUGUGGCAAGGUAGAUGAGGACGGGGCACACUUAUUCGUCAAGUGCAAAACGGUCAAGGGCGUCUGGAGAGAGCUAGCUAUGGAGAGCGAACGUAGUGCUUUGGAACGAAUCACGUCUGUGCAUGCAAUGAUGAAUUUCCUGUGGGGGCUCUAUGUAAAAAAGCGACUCCUUGUGCUCACCUUCUGGUGGUUGUGGUGGUCCAAUAGAAACAAGCUGCAUGGCGGGGAGCUGCCUACAAUGGCUGAGGAAGUGGCUCGAAGGGCAAAGAGCAGUGUUCAUGAAUUCAUGCACAUCUUUGCGACGACUCCACCUAAGCUAUCCCCAAAAAAAUGGCGGCCCCCAAAAGAUGGCGAGUACAAAAUAAACAUCAACGGCUUCUUGGUUCCUGGGCAGCACCAUGCUAGAUGGGGUGUGGCGGUGUGA